rnacentral:rRNA from 1 species
GAGUUUGAUCCUGGCUCAGGACGAACGCUGGCGGCGUGCUUAACACAUGCAAGUCGAACGGAAAGUGCCCUUCGGGGUACUCGAGUGGCGAACGGGUGAGUAACACGUGGGUGAUCUGCCCUGCACUUUGGGAUAAGCCUGGGAAACUGGGUCUAAUACCGAAUAUGACCACGCGCUUCAUGGUGUGUGGUGGAAAGCUUUUGCGGUGUGGGAUGGGCCCGCGGCCUAUCAGCUUGUUGGUGGGGUAAUGGCCUACCAAGGCGACGACGGGUAGCCGGCCUGAGAGGGUGACCGGCCACACUGGGACUGAGAUACGGCCCAGACUCCUACGGGAGGCAGCAGUGGGGAAUAUUGCACAAUGGGCGCAAGCCUGAUGCAGCGACGCCGCGUGAGGGAUGACGGCCUUCGGGUUGUAAACCUCUUUCAAUAGGGACGAAAGCGCAAGUGACGGUACCUAUAGCAAGAAGGACCGGCCAACUACGUGCCAGCAGCCGCGGUAAUACGUAGGUCCGAGCGUUGUCCGGAAUUACUGGGCGUAAAAGAGACUCGUAGUGGGUUUGUUCGCCGUUGUUUCGUGGAAAAACUCCC